AUUGAACGCUGGCGGCAUGCCUUACACAUGCAAGUCGAACGGCAGCACGGACUUCGGUCUGGUGGCGAGUGGCGAACGGGUGAGUAAUACAUCGGAACGUGCCCAGUCGUGGGGGAUAACGUAGCGAAAGCUACGCUAAUACCGCAUACGAUCUAAGGAUGAAAGCGGGGGAUCGCAAGACCUCGCGCGAUUGGAGCGGCCGAUGGCAGAUUAGGUAGUUGGUAGGGUAAAGGCCUACCAAGCCGACGAUCUGUAGCUGGUCUGAGAGGAUGAUCAGCCACACUGGGACUGAGACACGGCCCAGACUCCUACGGGAGGCAGCAGUGGGGAAUUUUGGACAAUGGGCGCAAGCCUGAUCCAGCCAUUCCGCGUGCAGGAUGAAGGCCUUCGGGUUGUAAACUGCUUUUGUACAGAACGAAAAGGCUCUGGUUAAUACCCGGGGCUCAUGACGGUACUGUAAGAAUAAGCACCGGCUAACUACGUGCCAGCCGCCGCAGUAA
rnacentral:rRNA from 1 species